rnacentral:rRNA from 1 species
GACGAACGCUGGCGGCGUGCUUAACACAUGCAAGUCGAACGGAAAGGCCCCUUUGGGGGUACUCGAGUGGCGAACGGGUGAGUAACACGUGAGUAACCUGCCCUUGACUUCGGGAUAACUUCAGGAAACUGGGGCUAAUACCGGCUAGGAAUCCUUGCUGCAUGGUGGGGGUUGGAAAGCUUCGGGGGUUUUGGAUGGACUCGCGGCUUAUUAGCUUGGUGGUGGGGUAGUGGGUUACCAAGGCUUUGACGGGUAGCCGGCCUGAGAGGGCGACCGGCCACAAUGGGAAUGGGGUACGGCCCAGACUCCUACGGGAGGCAGGAGGGGGGAAUAUUGCACAAUGGGCGGAAGCCCGAUGCAGCAACGCCGCGGGCGGGAUGACGGCCUUCGGGUUGGAAACCGCUUUCAGCAGGGGCGAAGCUUGUGGUGACGGUACCUGCAGAAGAAGCACCGGCUAACUACGUG